rnacentral:rRNA from 1 species
UACGUAGGUGGCAAGCGUUGUCCGGAAUUACUGGGUGUAAAGGGCGUGUAGGCGGGGAUGCAAGUCAGAUGUGAAAUUCCGGGGCUCAACCCCGGCACUGCAUCUGAAACUGUGUCUCUUGAGUGCUUGAGAGGAAAGCGGAAUUCCUAGUGUAGCGGUGAAAUGCGUAGAUAUUAGGAGGAACACCAGUGGCGAAGGCGGCUUUCUGGACAGUAACUGACGCUGAGGCGCGAAAGCGUGGGUAGCGAACAGGAUUAGAUA